GAUGAACGCUGGCGGCGUGCCUAAUACAUGCAAGUCGAGCGAACAGACGAGGAGCUUGCUCCUCUGACGUUAGCGGCGGACGGGUGAGUAACACGUGGAUAACCUACCUAUAAGACUGGGAUAACUUCGGGAAACCGGAGCUAAUACCGGAUAAUAUAUUGAACCGCAUGGUUCAAUAGUGAAAGACGGUUUUGCUGUCACUUAUAGAUGGAUCCGCGCCGCAUUAGCUAGUUGGUAAGGUAACGGCUUACCAAGGCAACGAUGCGUAGCCGACCUGAGAGGGUGAUCGGCCACACUGGAACUGAGACACGGUCCAGACUCCUACGGGAGGCAACAGUAGGGAAUCUUCCGCAAAGGGCGAAAGCCUGACGGAGCAACGCCGCGUGAGUGAUGAAGGUCUUCGGAUCGUAAAACUCUGUUAUUAGGGAAGAACAAAUGUGUAAGUAACUAUGCACGUCUUGACGGUACCUAAUCAGAAAGCCACGGCUAACUACGUG
rnacentral:rRNA from 1 species